rnacentral:rRNA from 1 species
UACGAAGGGUGCGAGCGUUAAUCGGAAUUACUGGGCGUAAAGCGCGCGUAGGUGGUUUGGUAAGCGAUAUGUGAAAUCCCCGGGCUUAACCUGGGAACUGCCUGUCAAACUGCAUGGCUUGAGACCAGGAGAGGUGAGUGGAAUUCCCAGUGUAGCGGUGAAAUGCGUAGAUAUUGGGAGGAACACCAGUGGCGAAGGCGGCUCACUGGACUGGUACUGACGCUGAUGCGCGAAAGCGUGGGGAGCAAACAGG